UGGUGCAGCAUGAAGACAGGCCCUGGGUUGGUGCAGCAUGAAGACAAGGCCUGGUUGGUGGAGCAUGGGGACAGGCCCUGGUUGGUGGAACAUGAAGACAAGGCCUGGUUGAUGCAGCAUAGGGACAGGGCCUGGUUGGUGGAGCAUGGAGACAGGCCCUGGUUGGUGGAGCAUGAAGACAGGCCCUGGGUUGGUGCAGCAUGAAGACAAGGCCCUGGUUGCUGGAGCAUGAAAACAGGCCCUGGUUGGUGGAGCAUGAAAACAGGCCCUGGUUGCUGGAGCAUGAAAACAGGCCCUGGUUGGUGGAGCAUGGGGACAGGCCCUGGUUGGUGGAGCAUGGGGACAGGCCCUGGUUGGUGGAGCAUGAAGACAAGGCCUGGUUGGUGGAGCAUGGAGACAGGCCCUGGUUGGUGGAGCAUGGAGACAGGCCCUGGUUGGUGGAGCAUGGAGACAGGCCCUGGUUGGUGGAGCAUGAAGACAGGCCCUGGUUGGUGGAGCAUGGAGACAGGCCCUGGUUGGUGCAGCAUGAAGACAGGCCCUGGUUGGUGCAGCAUGGGGACAAGGCCCUGGUUGCUGGAGCAUGAAAACAGGCCCUGGUUGGUGGAGCAUGAAGACAGGCCCUGGGUUGGUGCAGCAUGAAGACAAGGCCUGGUUGGUGGAGCAUGGGGACAGGCCCUGGUUGGUGGAGCAUGAAGACAAGGCCUGGUUGGUGCAGCAUAGGGACAGGGCCUGGUUGGUGGAGCAUGGAGACAGGCCCUGGUUGGUGGAGAAUGAAGACAAGGCCUGGUUGGUGCAGCAUAGGGACAGGGCCUGGUUGGUGGAGCAUGGCGACAGGCCCUGGUUGGUGGAGCAUGAAGACAAGGCCUGGUUAGUGCAGCAUGAAGACAAGGCCUGGUUGGUGGAGCAUGAAGACAAGGCCUGGUUGGUGGAGCAUGAAGACAAGGCCUGGUUAGUGCAGCAUAGGGACAGGGCCUGGUUGGUGGAGCAUGAAGACAAGGCUUGGUUGGUGGAGCAUGAAGACAGGACAUCAACAGAGCUUGGUGUUUAUUACCAGAGGUCAAGACAUCAACAGAGCUUGGUGUUUAUUACCAGAGGUCAAGACAUCAACAGAGCUUGGUGUUUAUUACCAGAGGUCAAGACAUCAACAGAGCUUGGUGUUUAUUACCAGAGGUCAGGACAUCAACAGAGCUUGGUGUUUAUUACCAGAGGUCAGGACAUCAACAGAGCUUGGUGUUUGUCAGAUGUAUUAUAGGUCAUCAGAUGACCUAAUGUUGGAGAAAUACCCCACAAUGGUACAGAUCAUGAAUACUCCCAUUUGCCCUGGUAAAAUGUAUUUAGUAACAUAAAGAAAAUUACAUUUUCACAAACUCUGGGCAGAGUGAGUGUGCGUGUUUGAGGCAGCCCAAUUCUGAUAUUUAUUUCACCAUUUUUAUAAUUUAACCUUUAUUUAACUAGGCAAGUCAGUUGAGAACAAAUUCUAAUUUUCAAUGAAGGUCUAGGAACAGUGUGUUAACUGCCUUGUUCAGGGGAACAGUGGGUUAACUGCCUUGUUCAGGGGAACAGUGGGUUAACUGCCUUGUUCAGGGGAACAGUGUGUUAACUGCCUUGUUCAGGGGAACAGUGGGUUAACUGCCUUGUUCUUAGGGGAACAGUGUGUUAACUGCCUUGUUCUUAGGGGAACAGUGUGUUAACUGCCUUGUUCUUAGGGGAACAGUGUGUUAACUGCCUUGUUCUUAGGGGAACAGUGUGUUAACUGCCUUGUUCUUAGGGGAACAGUGUGUUAACUGCCUUGUUCAGGGGAACAGUGUGUUAACUGCCUUGUUCAGGGGAACAGUGUGUUAACUGCCUUGUUCAGGG
ensembl:lncRNA